UACGUAGGUGACAAGCGUUGUCCGGAUUUACUGGGCGUAAAGAGCGCGCAGGCGGUCGAUCAAGUCGAGUGUGAAAGCCCCCGGCUCAACUGGGGAGGGUCAUUCGAUACUGAUCGACUCGAAGGCAGGAGAGGGUAGUGGAAUUCCCGGUGUAGUGGUGAAAUGCGUAGAUAUUGGGAAGAACACCGGUGGCGAAGGCGGCUCACUGGCUCAUUUCUGACGCUCAGGCGCGACAGCGUGGGGAUCAAACAGG
rnacentral:rRNA from 1 species